AGCAGCCGCGGUAAAUUCCAGCUCCAAUAGCGUAUAUUAAAGUUGUUGCAGUUAAAAAGCUCGUAGUUGAAUUUUAGGCCUGGCCGGACGGUCCGUCUCUGGCGAGUACUGUUCUGUCGUCGGGUCUAUCUUUCUGGUGAAUCGGUAUGUUCUUAAUUGGGCGUAUCGGGGAGCCAGGACCAUUACCUUGAAAAAAUUAGAGUGUUUAAAGCAGGCUUUUGCUUGAAUAGAUUAGCAUGGAAUAAUAGAAUAGGACGUUGUGGUUCUAUUUUGUUGGUUCGAGGACCACCGUAAUGAUUAAUAGGGAUAGUUGGGGGCAUUAGUAUUCAAUUGUCAGAGGUGAAAUUCUUGGAUUUAUUGAAGACUAACUAUUGCGAAAGCAUUUGCCAAGGAUGUUUUC
rnacentral:rRNA from 1 species